UUAUACGGCGAAACUGCGAAUGGCUCAUUAAAUCAGUUAUCGUUUAUUUGAUAGUACCUUACUACUUGGAUAACCGUGGUAAUUCUAGAGCUAAUACAUGCUAAAAAACCCGACUCACGGAGGGUUGUAUUUAUUAGAUUAAAAACCAAUGCCCUUCGGGGCUUACUGGUGAUUCAUAAUAACUUCUCGAAUCGCAUGGCCUUGCGCCGGCGAUGGUUCAUUCAAAUUUCUGCCCUAUCAACUUUCGAUGGCAGGGUCUUGGCCUGCCAUGGUUACAACGGGUAACGGAGGGUUAGGGCUCGACCCCGGAGAAGGAGCCUGAGAAACGGCUACUACAUCCAAGGAAGGCAGCAGGCGCGCAAAUUACCCAAUCCCGAUUCGGGGAGGUAGUGACAAUAAAUACUGAUACAGGGCUCUUUUGGGUCUUGUAAUUGGAAUGAGUACAAUUUAAAUCCCUUAACGAGGAACAAUUGGAGGGCAAGUCUGGUACAGUAUCUGCUGGUGCCAGCUAGAGCAGAAGCCCUUAAUUCUGCUAGUCGAGCGUCUUAGACGCCGGCGAGACGACCUGGAUCGGGGAAGGCUGUAGUGCUAUUAUAGCACUAUGCUGAUCCCGAGCGGAACUCAUAUGAUGUCCGUUUAGAGCCCGGAAAGGCGUCGGUUGCAGCACUACGCUGCAGCUUUAGGGACGUGCCAAUCCCUCUUGAAAAAGAGGCCGGUGCAUAAAAGCGCUGUAAGCGUCGAUAUGCCCGGGAAUUUAGCUUCUAAAUUCCGUCAAAUUAGUGGCCAGCAGCCGCGGUAAUUCCAGCUCCAAUAGCGUAUAUUAAAGUUGUUGCAGUUAAAAAGCUCGUAGUUGAACCUUGGGCCUGGCUGGCCGGUCCGCCUCACCGCGUGCACUGGUUCGGCCGGGCCUUUCCCUCUGGGGAACCCUAUGCCCUUCACUGGGUGUAGCGGGGAACCAGGACUUUUACUGUGAAAAAAUUAGAGUGUUCAAAGCAGGCCUAUGCUCGAAUAGCUCAGCAUGGAAUAAUAAAAUAGGACGUGCGGUUCUAUUUUGUUGGUUUCUAGGACCGCCGUAAUGAUUAAUAGGGACAGUCGGGGGCAUCAGUAUUCAAUUGUCAGAGGUGAAAUUCUUGGAUUUAUUGAAGACUAACUACUGCGAAAGCAUUUGCCAAGGAUGUUUUCAUUAAUCAGGAACGAAAGUUAGGGGAUCGAAGACGAUCAGAUACCGUCGUAGUCUUAACCAUAAACUAUGCCGACUAGGGAUCGGACGAUGUUAUUUUUUGACUCGUUCGGCACCUUACGAGAAAUCAAAGUCU
rnacentral:rRNA from 1 species